GUAUUUAAUAAAAAAGUGUAGCAACUCCAGCAAAACAAAACAAAAAGUUGGAGGUAUCUCAGCACCGAGGAAUGAAACAGGAGGAGCGCUGAAUGGAGCGACAUCUCUACACAAGCUCUGAAAAAUGAAAACUUGUCUCCUCUCUGUGGUUCCUGUGCAUUCAUCUGGGUUCAGGACCGGAUUGGUAUAAUCAGUGGCUUUGAUUUGCGACUCUGUUUCAUGCACUUGAGGAAUCAUUGGAACUGUAGAUCUUCUUCCUCCUUUUAACUGCAUGCAAUGGCACUGAAUAAUUAAUGAUGCUUUUGUUAAACAGUGGUGAAAUCACACCUGCAGGAUGCUAACUACAUGUGUAAUCUUAUCCAGUAGAUGGUAUCAUCUUGACUGGAACCCUGAACAUCACUGUAAUAAUUGGAACUAGCUAGCUCUGUGAAAAUUAUUACCUUACAAGCUUCCAAGAGGAAUCAAGACAAAAGCAAAAAAAAAAAUAAUAAUAAUACGUUCUCCUUUUUGUAACAGAAUAUUUGUACCAGAUUAAAUGAACAAAUGAUGUUACUGUGCAAUGUAUCCUUUUUGAAUGAAGCCAGUGAGCUCUUAGUAUAAUAAUAAUAAUGAUAGUUUGUGUGUUACUUAUCAAGUUCUGGAUCUUAACUGUAAUGCUAUAGUUUUAAAGUGGUUCUUAAGGGUUCUUAUCAAUGCCUGUGUGACCCAUUCUCCAAUACUUUGUCAAUGCAUAUUGGGGCAUGGUGUGGAGUAGUGGUUAGGGCUCUGGACUCUUGACCGGAGGGUCGUGGGUUCAAUCCCUGGUAGGGGACACUGCUGCUGUACCCUUGAGCAAGGUACUUUACCUAGAUUGCUCCAGUAAAAACCCAACUGUAUAAAUGGGCAAUUGUAUGUAAAAAAUAAUGUGAUAUCUUGUAACAAUUGUAAGUCGCCCUGGAUAAGGGCGUCUGCUAAGAAAUAAUAAUAAUCAUUCAUCAUGAAACAAGGAGGAGUGUAACUCAAGCGGUCUACCAUUCCACAUGGGGACUGUGAUGGAAACAUACUGCACUUUGAACAUUCAUUUGAAUGACUGCAGUUCCAAUAGUAGCCAUGACAAUAGUAAUAUCAUACUUUUUAACACUUGCUAUCAAAUUGUAGAUUAAAGACUUUCUUUCUUUCUUUCUUUCUUUCUUUCUUUCUUUCUUAGCUAUUCACUUAUUUACCUACACAAGCACACUCCCUAUAUAAACUGUAGGUUUAAGAUUUAUUUUCAUUUUUAAUCCCAGCCUCUGUCCCCUGCCUGCCCUUAUAAUCCUCUGGCAUGUGCUAGUGACAUCACAGGGCUGCGGGCUCCCGUCCAGUCCCCUGUGACUGUCAUUAACCACUGUGAACAAAUGAAAAAUGACUGGGAGACUCAGUGGCUCCCACCACUGACCUUGGGUAUUAUUAGAAUGACCUCCCUUUGGCUUGACCAAAAAAAAACCUUUUGCUAUCAUCCACAGAGCGCUGGAGGAGCAGCGUGAACAGUGUUAUGCAAGCCUAUAGCCUGGCCCCCAUUUGCUUAUAAAUACUUAAUCAGUAGACACAACUUGAACUGUUGUGCACAGGAGACAGUGACCCUCUUUAGCAGCAAUGAACAAUAUUGUGGUUAUGGGUUCCAACUCAGUUCAAAGAAAUGUCAUUUUAUACUGUACUACGGGUUUAACUGUUUGUGAGCUGCCAUUGGGUAGUCUCUCUGCUGUAAACUGAUAACAACAAAACAGAUACAUUAACAUAUAUAUAUAUAUAUAGAGAGAGAGAGAGAGAGAGAGAGAGAGAGAGAGAGAGAGAGAGAGAGAGAGAGAUAGAUAGAUAGCAGUAGAGCCUGAUAUUGAUGUGAUGCACCUAUCUAAAAUGUAUUGUAUCAGGGAGUUUAUAUCAGAUGGAAAUGUGCUCACAUUACGAUCAACACUGCUGUUGCUAUUCUUAUUUAGCUAUAUAUUAUAAAAGAUACAGUCUAGGGUACUUUAUAGGGCAGCAGUAUGGAGUAGUGGUUAGGGCUCUGGACUCUUGACCGGAGGGUCAUGGGUUCAAUCCCCAGUGGGGGACACUGCUGUUGUACCCUUGAGCAAGGUACUUUACCUAGAUUGCUCCAGUAAAAACCCGACUGUAUAAAUGGGUAAUUGUAUGUCAAAAAAAAUAAUGUGAUAUCUGUAUAAUGUGAAAUAAUGUAUAAUGUGAUAUCUUGUAACAAUUGUAAGUCGCACUGGAUAAGGGCGUCUGCUAAGAAAUAAAUAAAUAAAUAAAUAAUAAA